AAAAACAUGUCUUUUUGAGAAUAAUUUAAAGUCUAACCUGCCCAUUGAUUUUAUAUUUAAAGGCCGCAGUAUCCUGACUGUGCAAAGGUAGCAUAAUCAUUUGUCUUUUAAUUGAAGGCUGGAAUGAAUGGUUGAUUGAAGUAUAAACUGUCUCAUUUUAAUAAGUUAAUAAUUUAGCUUUUAAAUUAAAAGGUUUAAAUGUAUUUGAAAGACGAGAAGACCCUAUAGAUUUUUAUAAUAUUUUAUUAAAUUAUAAUUAGUUUAUUAUAAUUAAUUUAUUAGAAUUUUAUUUGAUUGGGGUGAUUAAAAAAUUAAAUAAACUUUUUUUUUAAAAAACCAUUAAUUUUUGAAUUAUUGAUCCAAUUUUAUUGAUUAUAAGAUUAAAUUACCUUAGGGAUAACAGCGUAAUUUUUUUAGAGAGUUCUUAUCGAUAAAAAAGAUUGCGACCUCGAUGUUGAAUUAAAGGUUAUUUUUAAAUGUAGAAGUUUAAAGUUUAGGUCUGUUCGACCUUUAAAUCUUUACAUGAUCUGAGUUAAAAACCGG
rnacentral:rRNA from 1 species